rnacentral:lncRNA from 1 species
UUGGGCUGGUUGUUGAUGCUGAUUCUGAAAUCUUGGGGGAUAAGAUGGUCGUGGAGCUUGCUGAUGUUGAUUAUUGCUCCAUGAAAAAUUAGGAUGAUUCAUAUUCCCCGGAUUGUAUUCAUUCUGGUAUAUAUUCUGUGGAAUCGUGUUGUAGCUACCCACAAAUUGCACUGAUGCUGGGUUGCUUGCACAUUGUUCUGUAUGAUGUUCAC